GAUGAACGCUGGCGGCGUGCCUAAUACAUGCAAGUCGAGCGAACAGACGAGGAGCUUGCUCCUCUGACGUUAGCGGCGGACGGGUGAGUAACACGUGGAUAACCUACCUAUAAGACUGGGAUAACUUCGGGAAACCGGAGCUAAUACCGGAUAACAUGUUGAACCGCAUGGUUCAACAGUGAAAGACGGUCUUGCUGUCACUUAUAGAUGGAUCCGCGCCGCAUUAGCUAGUUGGUAAGGUAACGGCUUACCAAGGCAACGAUGCGUAGCCGACCUGAGAGGGUGAUCGGCCACACUGGAACUGAGACACGGUCCAGACUCCUACGGGAGGCAGCUGUAGGGAAUCUUCCGCAAUGGGCGAAAGCCUGACGGAGCAACGCCGCGUGAGUGAUGAAGGUCUUCGGAUCGUAAAACUCUGUUAUUAGGGAAGAACAAAUGUGUAAGUAACUAUGCACGUCUUGACGGUACCUAAUCAGAAAGCCACGGCUAACUACGUG
rnacentral:rRNA from 1 species